rnacentral:misc_RNA from 1 species
AUACUUCUCAAACCACAUUGGUUCUUCUGGUGUGGCUUGGAUUUGGGGUUAUUUGCGGGCUUUGCUUUUUCAAAGGUCUGCUCCCCUGAAAAUGAUUAGCAGUAUCUGAGCAGAGGACUACUAUUGGUGUGAUAAAUUAUCUAUGCCUUGGUUGUGCAACAACUGCAUGAACAGCUUUCAAAGUGGGUUGUUGGUUGACAA